rnacentral:rRNA from 1 species
CGGUGACAAUAGCUGGAGGGUACCACCUGUUCCCAUACCGAACACAGAAGUUAAGCCUCCACACGCUGAUGGUACUUGGCUGGAAACGGCCCGGGAGAGUAGGUCGUCGCCG